rnacentral:rRNA from 1 species
GUGUUGCUCGGGUUCACUCCAACCCAUGUGACGUUACCAAACUGUUGCCUCGGCGGGAUCUCUGCCCCGGGUGCGUCGCAGCCCCGGACCAAGGCGCCCGCCGGAGGACCAACCAAAACUCUUAUUGUAUACCCCCUCGCGGGUUUUUUUUAUAAUCUGAGCCUUCUCGGCGCCUCUCGUGGGCGUUUCGAAAAUGAAUCAAAACUUUCAACAACGGAUCUCUUGGUUCUGGCAUCGAUGAAGAACGCAGCGAAAUGCGAUAAGUAAUGUGAAUUGCAGAAUUCAGUGAAUCAUCGAAUCUUUGAACGCACAUUGCGCCCGCCAGUAUUCUGGCGGGCAUGCCUGUCCGAGCGUCAUUUCAACCCUCGAACCCCUCCGGGGGGUCGGCGUUGGGGAUCGGCCCUGCCUUGGCGGUGGCCGUCUCCGAAAUACAGUGGCGGUCUCGCCGCAGCCUCUCCUGCGCAGUAGUUUGCACACUCGCAUCGGGAGCGCGGCGCGUCCACAGCCGUUAAACACCCAACUUCUGAAAUGUUGACCUCGGAUCAGGUAGGAAUACCCGCUGAACUUAAGCAUAUCAAAGCACGGAAGGAAAGAUUUCCCCUUCCUUUCACUUUCCCUAGCAAAGGGUGCCUUCAGAACCCUCUCCCAUACCGCUGCCCUCCAGUUAUCGGGAGGACACACAGAUGCGCUAAGAAUGCCGGACUCACAAAUCUGACACAAGAAAGCACGCACAAAGGCGUAGCCGAAUUAAUCCACUUUCACUCAAAGCGACGCUUCUGGCCGCCCUAAGA